UACGAAGGGGGCUAGCGUUGCUCGGAAUUACUGGGCGUAAAGCGCACGUAGGCGGCUCUUUAAGUCGGGGGUGAAAUCCUGGAGCUCAACUCCAGAACUGCCUUCGAUACUGAGGAUCUUGAGUUCGGGAGAGGUGAGUGGAACUGCGAGUGUAGAGGUGAAAUUCGUAGAUAUUCGCAAGAACACCAGUGGCGAAGGCGGCUCACUGGCCCGAUACUGACGCUGAGGCACGAAAGCGUGGGGAGCAAACAGG
rnacentral:rRNA from 1 species